rnacentral:rRNA from 1 species
GACGAACGCUGGCGGCGCGCCUAACACAUGCAAGUCGAACGGAGCUGACUUAGUGGCGAACGGGUGAGUAACGCGUGAGUAACCUCGCCCUGGAGUGGGGGACAACAGUUGGAAACGACUGCUAAUACCGCAUAAGCCCACGGUCUCGCAUGGGACUGAGGGAAAAGGAUUUAUUCGCUUCAGGAUGGACUCGCGUCCAAUUAGCUAGUUGGCGAGGUAACGGCCCACCAAGGCGACGAUUGGUAGCCGGACUGAGAGGUUGAACGGCCACAUUGGGACUGAGACACGGCCCAGACUCCUACGGGAGGCAGCAGUGGGGGAUAUUGCACAAUGGGGGAAACCCUGAUGCAGCGACGCCGCGUGGAGGAAGAAGGUUUUCGGAUUGUAAACUCCUGUCGUUAGGGACGAUAAUGACGGUACCUAACAAGAAAGCACCGGCUAACUACGUGCCAGCAGCCGCGUAAAACGCAGGGUGCAAGCGUUGUCCGGAAUUACUGGGUGUAAAAGGGAGCGCAGGCGGACCGGCAAAGUUGGAAGUGAAAACCAUAGGCUCAACCUAUGGAUGCUUUUCAAAACUGCUGGCCUUGAGUAGUGCAGAGGUAGGUGGAAUUCCCGGUGUAGCGGUGGAAUGCGUAGAUAUCGGGAGGAACACCAGUGGCGAAGGCGACCUACUGGGCACCAACUGACGCUGAGGCUCGAAAGCAUGGGUAGCAAACAGGAUUAGAUACCCUGGUAGUCCAUGCCGUAAACGAUGAUUACUAGGUGUUGGAGGAUUGACCCCUUCAGUGCCGCAGUUAACACAAUAAGUAAUCCACCUGGGGAGUACGACCGCAAGGUUGAAACUCAAAGGAAUUGACGGGGGCCCGCACAAGCAGUGGAGUAUGUGGUUUAAUUCGAAGCAACGCGAAGAACCUUACCAGGUCUUGACAUCCGAUGCAUAGUGCAGAGAUGCAUGAAGUCCUUCGGGACAUCGAGACAGGUGGUGCAUGGUUGUCGUCAGCUCGUGUCGUGAGAUGUUGGGUUAAGUCCCGCAACGAGCGCAACCCUUAUUGCCAGUUACUACGAAAGAGGACUCUGGCGAGACUGCCGUUGACAAAACGGAGGAAGGUGGGGAUGACGUCAAAUCAUCAUGCCCUUUAUGACCUGGGCUACACACGUACUACAAUGGCGUUUAACAAAGAGAAGCAAGACCGCGAGGUGGAGCAAAACUCAAAAACAACGUCUCAGUUCAGAUUGCAGGCUGCAACUCGCCUGCAUGAAGUCGGAAUUGCUAGUAAUCGCGGAUCAGCAUGCCGCGGUGAAAUACGUUCCCGGGCCU